rnacentral:rRNA from 1 species
GGGGAGUGACGUCAAAUCAUCAUGCCCCUUAUGACCUGGGCUACACACGUGCUACAAUGGUUGGUACAACGAGUUGCGAGUCGGUGACGGCGAGCUAAUCUCUUAAAGCCAAUCUCAGUUCGGAUUGUAGGCUGCAACUCGCCUACAUGAAGUCGGAAUCGCUAGUAAUCGCGGAUCAGCACGCCGCGGUGAAUACGUUCCCGGGCCUU